AACUUUUAAAGGAUAAUAGCUAAUCCACUGGUCUUAGGA
rnacentral:tRNA from 1 species